rnacentral:rRNA from 1 species
GACGAACGCUGGCGGCGUGCCUAACACAUGCAAGUCGAACGGGUGAGAGGAGCUUGCUCCUUGAUCUAGUGGCGAACGGGUGAGUAACGCGUGAGAAACCUGCCUUUCAGUGGGGGACAACAGUUGGAAACGACUGCUAAUACCGCAUAAUGUGCCGGGAGGGCAUCCUCCUGGUACCAAAGCUUUAUGUGCUGAAAGAUGGUCUCGCGUCUGAUUAGCUAGUUGGUGAGGUAACGGCUCACCAAGGCGACGAUCAGUAGCCGGUCUGAGAGGAUGAACGGCCACAUUGGGACUGAGAUACGGCCCAGACUCCUACGGGAGGCAGCAGUGGGGAAUCUUCCGCAAUGGGCGCAAGCCUGACGGAGCAACGCCGCGUGAGUGAAGAAGGUUUUCGGAUCGUAAAGCCCUGUUGAGAGGGACGAGAGAUAUAAUCAGGAAAUGGGUUAUAGAGGACGGUACCUUUCGAGGAAGCCAACGGCUAACUACGUGCCAG